GAGAGAGGAGGGCUUUCGAACAUCCUCCCCUUUUUUUUUCCAGAACGAAACAGGGGCAGAGCCCCUGUUAUGCAGUGGCCAGAGGUGAGGGGACUCGAAAGCCCUCUCUCCCUCGCUCGGCCUCGCUCUCUUCCUCUCCCCCUAUCGCUGAUUUCUUAGACUGAGGGGUGGACUAAGUCCGCCUCCUGUAUAGCUCUGUAUACUACGAACCGAGAGGUUCAGGUCGGUAUCCUUAGCUUGCAUCAAUGACAAAUACUACCAAAGAUGAGUCUCGCUGCUUAUUUGCUAUCACCACACAAUGGAGACCAAAAUCAUAGGUUCCUGAACACAAAUUUCCAUCUUGCAGAGCAGCAGACCAUUUCCUCUUCUGAAUAGAUUCCUGUGACAGAACUUACUGGAUUUGGCAUGUUAAUAGCCUUAGAAGUGCAGGAUAAAUCUCGCGUAUCCGAUCUCAUGCUACUCAGCAAAGCAAUGUUAUUUGAUGAUUGCCCACACAACCCCCCAUCAUUCACCAUAUGUAGUUGCUGAUUGGAACAUCUCAGUACAUCCUUCAGAUAAUGAAACCAUGAUACUUAAGAAAAUCCAUUUAGCAAGGCUUUU
rnacentral:lncRNA from 1 species